CCUACGGGUGGCUGCAGUGGGGAAUAUUGCACAAUGGGGGAAACCCUGAUGCAGCGACGCCGCGUGAGUGAAGAAGUAAUUCGUUAUGUAAAGCUCUAUCAGCAUGGAAGAAAAUGCCGGUACCUGAGUAAGAAUCCCCGGCUCACUACGUGCCAGCAGCCGCUGUCAUACGUAGGGGGCAAGCGUUAUCCGGCUUUACUGGGUGUACAGUGAGCGUAGGCGGCAGUGCAAGUCUGGAGUGAAAGGCGGGGGCUCAACCCCCGGACUGCUGUGGAAACUGUACGGCUGGAGUGCAGGAGAGGUAAGUGGAAUUGCUAGUGUAGCGGUGAAAGGCGUAGAUAUUAGGAGGAACACC
rnacentral:rRNA from 1 species